rnacentral:lncRNA from 10 species
GGAAGAUGGAACAAGCCCAGACAAAGGAGGAUUCUUUUUUACUCAUCUUAAAUCCAUUUUAUUUUCCUUCAUCUGAGCCCCUUAAAACUAAUGUGUUACUGGUGCAAGCGGUCUUCUCUGUCUUCUUUAUGGCCAGUAAAAUUCUCCAGAAGAGAUUUAUGGCAGCCUCACUCCCAGUAGUUUCUGCAUUUAGUGAGAUAAGGAAUGGAUUUUCUUCUGUGUAUUGCUGACACGAACAGGAGACGGAAAUACUGAGUAGAAGAGGGCGGUUCCCUGGCUAAGGCCCCACCCUCAAGCCUGGAUACCCGCGGCCCUAAAUGAGAAGAGGCGUUUCUGUUUGGGGCCCAAAAAGUUGCUUUUUGACCCACCACGCCCCCUAUCCUGCCCCCAUAUAAACCCCAAACCCCAACCUCCAGAGCAUACCAGCAGGUGAGGAGAUACGAGGCAAGCCGACUGACGGCAAAACGACGUAGCAGAGAAAGAGAGAAGAGGAGGGACGUCUGGACACCGAGAGAUGUUUGGCUCGGGGCAGUCAGAGCGGAGUCCAGCCCCUGGGCGGCCCAACUCCAGGGGAAGAUCACCUUCCCACUUCAUCCAUCCCCACCCUUCCAGCUCCCCAUCCAUCCUGCUGAAAGCCAUUUCCACCACUCAAUAAAACCUCGCAUUCAUCCUUCAAGUCCGUGUGUGACCCGAUUUUUCCUGGAUUCUGGAAAAGAGCUCGGAAUACAGAAAGCUGUCCCCUGGUCCUUUGCCCUUGUGAAAAAGCAGAAGGUCCAUUGAGCUGGUUAACACUCCAGCUGUCUGUGGUGGCCAAGCUGAAAGAGCUUUGUAACACUGGGGUUGCAGGCACCCACCUCUAGACGCUACCGCAGAGCCAGAGCCCAAAGCCCUCACCCCGGCCUCUGCACUUGCCCAUCUGCGUGCUCCCCCUCUCGCAAGGGGUUUCUGCAGAGGGGGCUACUGAACAGGUGAGCCACACCCCUGUCGCACGCCCUGCAAGGGGAAUCAGGGAACUCUUCCGUUUCAUUGCUUUGACCACAUCCUAUAAAUCUUGUUCUCCUUGUCUUUCAGCUCCAAUUUGUUUAUACAUUCAGUUUUUACUUUUGACUUUAC